GCGCACACUAGCUUUCUUUUGUUUUCGGACUACUCCCUUCUCUAACGUACGGUAGCAGACGUCACCCACGUUUUUCAAUGCACAUGCCACAGUUUAACGACUUAACGACUAAAACGACUACGAAAACUCUGUGACUAAAGGAACCAAUGUUUUUAAUUUUAAAAGAAUUGUAAUGGAGAUAAUAGUACAACCAGGGCCGUCCUGUGAAAAUUUGGAGUGUGCUUUUCAGUUAGGGAGAUUACGCAUACAUUGGAAAGGCAACUACAAUAUGGAAAUUGACAUGAUGGAUGGUGCUGACGGAGGCCUCAUGCAAGGUUCGAUGAAAUAUUUCUUGGUGAGAACUGUGGAAACCGAUGAAGAUUACAAAGAGAAUACUUUCUACACCUGUGUCCCAACCACAUGGAUAUCUAAAUGCAAGCAGUUGAUGUUGUAUCCACCAGUGGGGCUCCAUUUUGUUAGUGGCGUAAACAUUGAACCUCCAAAAUGGAGAAGCAAUGUGUUUAAAAGGUUCCGUUUCCCCACUCCCAAUAAGCUUGAAUACGAUAUUGUACACAUCCACAACCUUCACAAACCAGGAAGUCACGACCGAGUUCAUAAAUCAGCCGCUGCUGCCAUGAAAGGCUCAAAAAAUUUUGAAGAUAUCUUGAAAUCCGACAACGAAGUUUCUUUAGGAAGAGGGGCUCGCCUAAAAAUUAAGAAAAAUUUCGACAUUCCAGAAGCUAAUGAUAAACCAAAAAAGAAGAAAAAGACUGAUGGAACAGAAAAUGAAACAAGUUUGUCAAUAAAUAGGACGAUGGAUCCUAUUUCGAGGAAGGUGGUUCCAGAAAAUCAGAAUGCUGAAUUGUCUGUGCUAGUUACAAUGCCGUACAUGCCGAUGACAUUACGAUUGAUAAAGAAGCAAUGGUCAAUCACGACGCAGUUUUCCCUUUGCUAGAAGAUGACUGAAAUUUGGAAAAUAGUGAUUACCGGGGCCGCAGUGUUACUCAUGUUGACCCAACUGAUUGGGUGGGCCCGAUUAGUCCACGACAAAAUGACACACUCCUGGAUAUGGAUACUCUAAAGCUAAUCGCAUCUGAUUCCGUUCAACAAGGCACCACUGAUCGUACACUUAUGCUAUGUGUGCUAGAAUGCUUACAACGGAUUGCAGGAAUGCAGAAAACAAUGGAUGGCAUAAAAACAAAGUUGUCUGAAAAGUUCCAGUCUAUUAUUGAGAAGAUGUGUGAGCUUGAGAACAAAAUUAAAGAGGGGCGAAAGUUAGACGUCUUUAAGAUGGCCAAAGAAGAUUUCAGUCACCAUAAAUGUGUAGUAGAGUCCCACGUAAAGGAGUUGCCAGUAAAGUCAUCACAUGCCGUGGAGGCUUAAAUGUUGCUUUGCGGGAUGAGAAGCUCUCCGUUAGCCUGGUUUUUUUAUUCAUACAAAAAUUUCAAACAGCAAAGACAGUUAACUCAUUUCUAAGGCUAAUGUUUUCCUAUUUAAUUGCUGAUUCAACUAGCAAUUAAAUGCAAUGGAAAAUGUGCCCAAGGGGAAAAGACGCUCGACCUGCAUUAGCUGGAUUGUAUGACCUCCUGGCAGUUUUUGGAGGUUUUUCCGAUCUUAAAUUGUAUGCUGUGUAUUUUCAACCAACUAUUGGUUUGGUUUAGUUUCUGUUAGCCAUUUCGUAAAGAAGAAGGGGUGUGAAGUUGUCAAAGUAGCAAGACUUCAACAACUGGUUCGGGAUGCCAGAAAAGUGAACUCAAGAGUAUAUCGGGCAAACAACCCUAAUGAAGAUCUCAAUAAUGACGAUGAUGGCAUUGUCCCUGAUACAACCCUUAAUGCAAUUCAAGAUUCUGAUGGUGUCCUUACACAAGAACACAUUGAUCAACUAAAUGCAGCCGUAAACAAAUUUUCCCUUUGAUUUUUUUCCUUAGUCAUCUAUUGCAGGCCCCAUUAUGCGUUUAAUUUAUUAUAUUUCAUUGGAUAAAUGCAAUUGUGCUUUAGUUAAAUUGUUUCAUUUUCAUCUGUUGACGCCUGAAAUAAAAUGACAGU